AGUAAUAAUAAUAAUUCUAAAUUAAAGGUGAAUGGAGAAAAGCUAAUUUAAUAUGCAAUCUAGAAACGUGUUUGCAUGAUGUGUCCACUAGGUGGCAGUCACACUCCAUCACAGAGGUGUUUAAUAAGAGUGAUUGUGUUGUGAAAAGUGGUGUUGAGUUAUACUCCAGUAUUCGUUAUAAAAAGGAAAUUUCCAAUCUUGGAUGCUGAUUGGUCAAUUCUACAUUCCAAAAUGCACAUUAUGGUAUUCUCUAGUCUAUAUAGUAUAUUAUAUACGUAGUAUAGACCAUCUCAUUUAGCUUGGCUUAUUUAUGAUUAGAUCUCAUGGAAGGUUUACACUUCAUGCAUUUGCUUAAUUUUCUUAGUCAGGACUGUUUUUAAACGUAACUAAAACAUAAUAUGUUGUAAAUAUUGUUAUGGGUUACCAGAAGUAAGUCUUAUUUUACUCUUAAUUAAUGCUUUUCCCCCCCUAUCCGGCCAAACCUUGACCUCUUAUUCACAACGUAUCAGCAUCUCUUGCUUAAAUAAUCACUUUAAUGGGAUGCAGUGAUGUAGAGUUUAGGUGAAAUUCGAACAAAUUAACUAAUGCACCAUUUCUUAAUCUUUCCCUCCAGCAUUUUUCCCUUCACUAAUGACCGAAGCAGACGUGUGUGUGAGUUUUACAGGGCCAAGUCUGUUUUUGAGAUUUGCAGCUCCAAAAAGAUGCUGGAUUCCCGUUUCUUUCGAAAACUCUUUCUAUAUCUCUUGCCUUUAUUUAUGGAUUUAGAUCUAGAUCUUUCUAUUCCAGAUCCGGCUCAUGUCACACACCGUUUUCAGUGUGUUGUCACUAGAGAUCUAGAUCCAGAUGUUGGGUCCCUGGGGCCCUCUGGGGCCCCAACCUCUUCCUCCUCCUCUUCUUCUUCACCUCCUCCUGCAAGCAGUGACCCUUCCACAUUCUCCAGAAUAUGAGUCAGCAGUGCUGCGGCUCCAGCAAACUCCAUCUAUCAUAAGUUGGACCCAGCAGACCCAAAACUGAUUUCAUCAUCACUGCGGGACUGAGUCACACUGCUAAAGAGAGUGAGAGAAGAUCUGCUCGGCCAAAAAUACAUGAAUACUACACACCAGAUGGGAAUAAAGUGGAAAGUAAAUAGGAAAACAGAAUGAAGGACAGAGAUGUAGAAGGUUCAAGAAAACUCACUUUCUGGCCUGACCUGGACACACAGGCAAGCCCACUCCUGUUUUCUUCAGAAUAUGCAAUCUAGUUAGUCAUACUCGCCACAGGCAACAUUAGCUAAUGCAAUCUAUCAGUUUAAUAUGGUUUUAAUCACAUUUUGUUCUAGGUUUCUGGUGAAUGGACCAUGACAUUUAAAAUCCCAAGUCUCAAAAACCGCAAAGACGAGUUAUUUCCAGAGAAGAUGCCACGGUCCACAUCCUCACAGAAUCCCUCUCGCUGGUCCAGGUCUGGAACAUUCCAGAACAUUCUUUUACCUUUUCCAUUUUGAGUGGUGUUGCUGAGUGACGAUCCAAACACGGCCCCUUCUCCACAGAGUCCCCCGUCAGUGUUGCCUAUAAAUGCUGCUGACCCAUUUGACUCCACACACACAUCUGGACUGAGGCAACUCAAUGCCUUUGGGAUGUCCAGGGACAGUGCAGGAAGCAGAGCCCAUGAUGACAUCACCAUCCCUCUGUUCCAGCGCACAUCUGGAAAUGCUCAAGUUUCAGAAAGAGAGAGAGAAUGUGAGGGAAGAGUACAAAUGAGCUUGGCAUAUCUGCACCACCAGCACGGAUAGGGAAACAAGGAGGAGAGAAUAGGAAACGAGAAAGAAAUGGAGGUGGGCUGUAUGAACUAUUUACCCUGUUUAUGGUUUUAACCCCUCCAAAGAAAGUCAAAAGCAAAAGAAAUACAAAAUAGUAUUAAUAUACAUAUUACAAAGGCUCUGGAAAAACUUAUUCUGAUUGGUCAAUCACAGAAUUCAGAACUGUAUAUCAGUCACAAGCAAAUGAUUUCCUUCAUCACAUCUCUCGUAGUCUUUUGACAUAAUGGAAUAAUUUUAACAUUCCCAUGUCCUUUAUUUAUUUGAACUGCUUAUUCUAAUAUUUAAAUAACCACAUGAAUUUGAUUGUAACUGCAUGUUUACAUCUUUACUUUUUCCAAAUUAUAUUGAAUAUUAUAUUGAAUUAUAUUUUUGGCAACAGAAAUCCAGCUACAUGAAUGCUUCCUGUUAGGAUUAAUGUUGGAAAAAAUUCCAGUACAGCUGCUGGCUUAAAUUAUAUUAAACUGGCUUAAAAAAAAAAAAAUCAUUGCAUAGUUUUAAUAUUAAUUGCAUAUAAUAUUACACAAUCUGAGGACGAAUAUCGACUCGUGACAGGAAGCAAAGAUGCCUCCUCCAAAUUCUCAGGGCUGAUUCUGUUCCUUAGACUACAGGCGGACUGAUGCAAUGAUGAUUCCAGAACUAAAACCCAGGUCUGGAGUGUCUCGGAGUGGUGGGUGGGGGGAAUUCUGACAGCUGGCCGGAGGAAAUCCUGUUUCCAGUUGACACUUUUUUUUUUUCUCACCUCCCCAGACAUGCACAAACUUCUGGUCCUUUUGUACUGAUCUCUGUUUGCUUUAUCAUAAUUUUCUUCUGACCAAAGUUGCAAUCGUUCACAAAAUGUGACAAAUUCAUAUGCAGCCAAAAGUACUGCAGUACUGUU